GCCAAGCUUCCUUGAAUUUGUCAUCCUCCUGCCUUAGCUCCUAAGUGCUGGGAUUAUAGACGUGUAACUAUGUUCUUUAUAUGUUCUGGAUAUUGACUCAUAUAUAUAUAUAUAUAUAUAUAUAUACACACACACACACACACACACACACACACACACACAUAUAUAUGUGUAUAUAUGUGAUUUAUAAAAUUUCUCCCACUCUGGAGCCAAGCCACCUGUGAUUUCAAGGCCAGCCUGGUCUACAGAGCAAAUUCUGAGACAGCUAAGGCUACACAGAGAAAAAAGCCAAAAAGCCAAAAAAAAAAAAAAAGUCUGUAGUUUUAUCGUUUGCCCUGUGGAUUUCUUUGUGUAGAAGCUUCGCUUUAAUAUAGUGCUAAUUCUCUAUGUUAACGUGUGUUUGCUGAACUCUUUGGUGGCAUAUCAAAGAACCAUUAGCAAGUCCCGUAUCGCGAAGCUUCUGCCGCCCCUCCUCCUAAGGCUUGCCCCUCAGCACUUCUGCAUUCUUGCCUAUUUUGUUUACUGGUUGAAACCAAUUAUGAGGAAAAGAAUGUUGACUGUUGCCUCUCUGCUUGUGAUAAGUUUUUGCUUCGUGUGUUUAGAGGCUCUGUUAGUAGUUGUAUGCACGUUUGGGAUUGCUCUGUUGGGCCUUUUGUGUAAUGUAAAUUCCCUUUUCUUCAUGGCAGCUUUCAGGGUGAGGUUUUCUUUGUCUGACGUUAAGAGUCACUGCAGCUUUCUGAGGACUCUCGUCUGUAUAAAUGCUAACAUCUGGUCUGUUUAUUGUUGUAAACACCACAGUUUCGUAGUUCCCUUUUGCUUUCCGCAGAAACCGUGUCAUAGGGAGCUAAAAUUCUGUACUUACCUAUCAGGCAUAUUUUAAAGAAGAAGGUUAUGAAUUACUGGGUGUUUUUAUUUGUAUUUAUUGUGGGUGUUUUUUUUUUUUUUAGAUUUAUUUAUUUUAUUAUAUGUAAGUACCAUAGCUGUCUUCAGACACUUCAGAAGAAGGCAUCAGAUCUCAUUACGGAUGGUUGUGAGCCACCAUGUGGUUGCUGGGAAUUGAACUCAGGACCUUCAGAAGAGCAGUUAGUGCUCUUAACCACUGAGCCAUCUCGCCAGCCCCUUGUUUUUUGUUUUUUGAGACAGGUUUACUAAGUAGCCCUGACUGGCCUAGAACUCGUGUGUAGACCAGGCUGGCCUCAGGCUUAUGGCUUUCUGUCUGUCUCUGCCUCCCUGAGUGCUGUGCCACCAAGCUUGGCUCCUGUUCUCUUUUUGAGACAUGGCCACAUGUAGCCUAGACUGGGCUCUCCAUGUGCCUUGAGAGUUGUACAUGCAGUGUCUGAGUGCCCACACACAGAAUGAGUAAGUUAAAAAGGAAGCCACGUCUGAGGACUGGCUGUGACUGACAGGGAGAGAAGCAUCAUCUAUCUGAGAGCUGUGGGCAUCCACCUGCUCAGUGCCUCUGCUCAGGUUUGGGGAGUAAGAAACGAGGGACAGCUGCGUCCUUGUCAUUGUCCUUGUCCACGAGUGUGAAGACCCCUGCCCCCUGCCUGGAUUGUGCACCUGCUCCUCUGCUCUGGGUCUGCGGCAACUUUAGGUCUAACCUGGGAACACUGGAGGGAAAACAGGUUCCUGCCUCUCGGGUGGGCUUCCCCAUCCUCCUCUUAAAGCUUCCAGAGGCCUGCUCUGAAAACCUGGCCCAGGCGGCAGUCAUGGGAGGCAGACUGGAGACAGGCCUGCUUCAUGAACUGAACUGGAAUGUCAAAAGUUGUGAUACUUGGAUGCUGUUUAAUUUGUUUUUAUUGUGUGUAACUGACAGUCUGUUGGCUUGCUUUGCUCUGUGGCGUUGUGAUUUUCAUGUUCUAUUUUUAUAAUAAGCAAAUGUUUACAUCACUCUUGGAUGGGUGUGGCUGUGCUAGGAAUCCCAGAAAGGAACCCAUCCUAAUAAGGAGGAGCUUAUUGUUCAUAUCUGCACGGUAAUGAAUGGGCUUCCAUGGAGGGUGUGAGCACAAGCUUUCUAGAAAAGAGUGGUGACCACUCAUUCAGUCCAAAACCAAUCUUUUGUUUCUGCUUUCUUCCCCUCUGACGCAUGUCCCUGGAUCACCAGGUCGGUUUUCACUUGGCUGCUCUGCCCUCCCUGUCACCUACUCCUGCUGCUGAAUCUUUGAACCUUUGGCCCAUGCAGGCUAGAGUUCACUGGCUCCCGGGAGGCUGCCGCAGGGCCAGGGUAAUUAUAAAUCCUCCUGUUGGGUGCUGUUUCAAAUCUCCAAUCUAUAAAUAGCACAGGCGACGGGCCAGUUCUGCAGGUUUUCUCUAAUGGGUUUUAGAAAUGUAUGUAGCUUCCCCUGGGCCUGUGCUUUGGGCUGACACGGGACAUUAAUUAUAGCUUGUUAGAGAUGUCCUGUUACCUGUGGACAUGGUUUCGUGGUUGGGUCAGGGAUGCUUUUCUGGUUGCUGGGUUAGUCAUUGCUCAGCCGUCUUACUACACAUUCAGGGCUAGAGCAGGGAACCAGCUUUACAUAAGUCCAGGAAUAGGGCACAGGUGACGGCUCCUGUCGCAAGGUAGCAGGUGACUGGAGAGGAGCCAAGUCCCAGGGGUGUGUGCUGAGUGCUUUGAGGAGAGGCCUGGAGCAACAGAGGGGAUUAGGGGAUGGUUCCCAGAGGAUCUCUCAACUUUGUAGCUCCUUGUUAUAAACUUAUUUGUUAAGGAAGUCUUACAAGCAAUACCAAUUCAAUUAAAAAAAAAAG
rnacentral:lncRNA from 1 species